rnacentral:rRNA from 1 species
AACGAACGCUGGCGGCAUGCCUAACACAUGCAAGUCGAACGAGACCUUCGGGUCUAGUGGCGCCCGGGUGCGUAACGCGUGGGAACCUGCCCUUAGGUUCGGAAUAACUCCCCGAAAGGGGUGCUAAUACCGGAUAAUGUCUUCGGACCAAGGAUUUAUCGCCUUUGGAUGGGCCCGCGUUGGAUUAGCUAGUUGGUAGGGUAAAAGCCUACCAAGGCGACGAUCCAUAGCUGGUCUGAGAGGAUGAUCAGCCACACUGGGACUGAGACACGGCCCAGACUCCUACGGGAGGCAGCAGUGGGGAAUAUUGGACAAUGGGCGAAAGCCUGAUCCAGCAAUGCCGCGUAAGUGAUGAAGGCCGUAGGGUUGUAAAGCUCUUGUACCCGGGAUGAUAAUGACAGUACCGGGAGAAUAAGCUCCGGCUAACUCCGUG